rnacentral:rRNA from 1 species
GUUCCGCAGGAGAUUCUAUGCCAUAUACACUCCCUCUUGCCACUGCAAGACGCUGCCCGUGCUGCCUGCGUGUCUCGCGGAUUUCUACAAUUCUGGAGAUGCUACUCGAAGCUCGUACUCAACCACCGUACGCUUGGGUUGACCGACAUGCAAUUUGUCAGAAGAGAAAUAAAUUUCAUGGACAAAGUUGACCAAAUUCUUGAAAACCAUCACAACAAUGGGGUUCUGGUGGAGAUACUUGAACUUGAAUAUCCCCCUUCCAGGAGCAUCAAGCCCUGCUACCUAGACAGGUGGCUCCAAAUCACAGUUAAGCCUGGGAUUAAACAACUUGACUUAUCUAUGUGUGUGACCGGUCCCGAGGAGGAAAACUACAACUUCCCGUGUUCGGUUUUGUCCAAUGGAGCAGCUGCAAGUUCAAUUCAAUCUCUUUGCCUCUCCGCUUGCAGUAUUCAUCCCACAUCGACACUUGGCGUCUUGAGAAAAUUGACAAGUUUACAUUUGAAUCUUGUCCAUACUACUGAGGAAGGAUUAGGGAACUUGCUCUCAAAAUCUUUCGCCCUAGAGCGGCUUGACCUCUGGUUUUGCCGUGGGAUAAAUUGUUUACGGAUACCUUCUAUGAUGCAGAACCUCAAAUUCCUCGAAAUUAUAGAAUGCCAAAGGUUGAAGGUGGUAGAGAUCAAUGCUUCAAAUCUUUGCUUCCUUCAUUGUGUUGGUGGUGAUAACCUGAGAGAAAUCUCGGCCAGAAAUUCUUCUCAGCUGAAGAAUGUAACUUUAUCGUCGGUUCUUCUCUCAUAUGCUCAUGCUUGGCUUCCAUCCAUCGCAAGAAAUGCUGAGAGCCUUACCCUAUGCUGUCCUACUAAGAAUGUCAACAUUUCAAGCAUGCCCUCCAAUCUUCUCCACCUGAAGAAGUUGGAUAUCGAACUCAGUCGACCAACGAUGGCGGCCUUCUGUACGAGCUACGAUGUCUUCUCUUUGCUUUCUUUCAUUGAUGCUUCUCCUGUCUUGGAUUCCUUCAUCCUGACGGUAGAGAAGAAUGCCCUUAAGGAUGAUCUUGACAUGGGAGAUGAAAACAACAAGUAUUUGGGGCGGAAGCUGGAGCGUCGGCAUGUCUGCCUCCGGCGGGUGGAUAUCAUGGGCUUUUGUGCAUCCAAGAGUCUAGUCGAGCUCACGAUCCACAUCCUCGAGAACGCACCAUCACUCGAGAACCUGAUUUUGGACACGAUCUAUGGCUACAAUAGAUGUUUGGAUACAUUUCACAAAUGCACAACCUCAACAAAGAUUAUCCAAUGCUCGCCCUUGAGCAGGGCAGACCUUGCGAGAGCUCGUAGAGCCGUGAAGGUUGCGGGAAGGUAUAUCGUGGGAAGAGUUCCAUCGUCUGUUCAGCUCGAGAUCCUAGAUCCCUGUAAUCGAUGC